AACGAACGCUGGCGGCAGGCCUAACACAUGCAAGUCGAGCGAGGACUUCGGUCCUAGCGGCGGACGGGUGAGUAACGCGUGGGAACGUGCCCUUUGCUUCGGAAUAGCCCUGGGAAACUGGGAGUAAUACCGGAUGAGCCCUUUGGGGGAAAGAUUUAUCGGCGAAGGAUCGGCCCGCGUUGGAUUAGGUAGUUGGUGGGGUAAUGGCCUACCAAGCCGACGAUCCAUAGCUGGUUUGAGAGGAUGAUCAGCCACACUGGGACUGAGACACGGCCCAGACUCCUACGGGAGGCAGCAGUGGGGAAUCUUAGACAAUGGGGGAACCCCUGAUCUAGCCAUGCCGCGUGAGCGAUGAAGGCCUUAGGGUUGUAAAGCUCUUUCAGCUGGGAAGAUAAUGACGGUACCAGCAGAAGAAGCCCCGGCUAACUCCGUG
rnacentral:rRNA from 1 species